rnacentral:piRNA from 1 species
UGUUAUUUAGGUCUUUCUAAAUCCCCGGAGG